rnacentral:ncRNA from 1 species
CGGGGAAACGCAGACUCCCCGUCAGACGGCUUCAACCGUCCAAGCGCUGC